UCAACCCUCCAAAUUGGGGGGUUUGAGGAGGUUUUGAUUCUCAUCUGGACCAAAAUACACUCAAACUUUCCAAAAAAUUACGUAGGGUUUCAAAGAAUCAGUUUCAUCGAAAGCUUCACCACCGCAUCAAUGAUCUCCUAGCCAGUGCACGCGACAGCUUCAGGUGGCUCCAAUCGGUUCUCCAACCUCCAUGCGGGUGACAACUUCAGUUUAAAAUAUGUCAAAGAGGAAAUCAAGUUCAAAUGUUCAUGAUAGAAGUAAUAUGUGUGUAUGGACGUUUGCUAUGGAUGGCGCUCUCAUUGAUGCUUAGUUGCAUCAACAAACAAUGGGUAAUAGAGUUGGUGGAACAUUCACCACACACGCAUUGGAGAACAUAGUAAAUGAAGUAAGAAGUAAAUUUUUGGAUAAGCCAAUAGACAAAGAAAGGGCCCAAAACCGUAUGAAAAAUAUAAAGCGAGCUUUUAUAAGGUGCUAUGACAUUUUCAAGAAUGGAAUGAGUGAGUUUGCAUGGAAUCCAACUAGCAAAAUGUGGCAUGUUAUGCCUGAAGUAUGGAAACAUUUAAUUGAGUUGGUGAUAAGAUGAGUGGAUUUCAGUGUAUGAAAGGGAAAGAUGUAAAGAAGCCAAGUAUGGCUGCAUGGGAAGGCUAAUGAAUAGGUUCUCUAGUUCAUAAAACGUUCCUUAUAUGUGUUGGAUAAUGGUAGACUUCAAGUUGAGCGCAAAGUACAUACAUAAUGAUCAAAGGGAUAGUUCACCGAAAAAGGAACUUGGUGGAAUGCCGACAAGAUUGUCGAUGGAGAUGUCAAGUUUUUUGGCAGGAAACUGAUCAGUGUUUAAUUCAAUCCUGCUCAGCACCAAAGCCAAGUAUUUGGUGUGUAGUAGCUUGAUUAUAACUUGUGGUAUGCUUCUGGUCUAGAAGGAAUGAUAUCAAUUCAAUGUUCUACCACCAAGAAAUGCUCAUAAAAAACAAUUUUUGGAAGUGUCCUUUACUGGCUAGAAAUAUUCUUAUCAGUUUUGUAUCUGAAUGAAUGUGUCCGAAAGUGCUGGAUCAAGAUAAGCAGAUGGUAUUUAAUUUUGUUUAUUGUCCGAAGAGUUGUAAUUUUGUUUUCUGUGUGCUCUAUAUCUGGAUAUCAGUUGCUAUUUAAUUUUGCUGAAACACUAAUGCUUUGGUCAG